CUUGAGCCCAGAAGUUUGAGGUGGCAGUGAGCUGUGGUCAUGCCACCGCAUUCCAGCCUGGGUGAUAGAGCGAGCGAGACACUGUCUCUCAAAAAAAAAAAAAAGAAGAAGAAGAAGAAGAAGAAGUCUGGGCACGGUGGCUCACACCUCUAAUCCCAGCACUUUGGGAGGCUGAGGCUAGUGGAUCACAUGAGACCAGGAGUUCAAGACCAGCCUGCUCAACAUGGCAAAACCUCGUCUAUCAAAAACACAAAAAUUAGCCAGGGGUGGUGGUGCACAUUUGUGAUCCCAGCUAUUCGGAAGGCUAAAGCAGGAGAAUUGCUUGAACCCAGGAGGAGGAGGUUGCAGUGAGCUGAGAUCACGCCAUUGCAUGAUCCCAGCCUGGGUGACAGAGCGAGACACCGUCUCAAAAAAAAAAAAAAAAAAAAGAAAAGAAAAGAAAAAAGAAAGGAAAGUCCGUUCCAUUUCUAGUUUGUCGAGCGUUUGCC
rnacentral:lncRNA from 1 species